UCGGGGUACACGAGCGGCGAACGGGUGAGUAACACGUGGGUGAUCUGCCCUGCACUUCGGGAUAAGCCUGGGAAACUGGGUCUAAUACCGGAUAUGACCUUCGGCUGCAUGGCUGAGGGUGGAAAGGUUUACUGGUGCAGGAUGGGCCCGCGGCCUAUCAGCUUGUUGGUGGGGUAAUGGCCUACCAAGGCGACGACGGGUAGCCGACCUGAGAGGGUGACCGGCCACACUGGGACUGAGACACGGCCCAGACUCCUACGGGAGGCAGCAGUGGGGAAUAUUGCACAAUGGGCGAAAGCCUGAUGCAGCGACGCCGCGUGAGGGAUGACGGCCUUCGGGUUGUAAACCUCUUUCAGCAGGGACGAAGCGAAAGUGACGGUACCUGCAGAAGAAGCACCGGCCAACUACGUGCCAGCAGCCGCGGUAAUACGUAGGGUGCAAGCGUUGUCCGGAAUUACUGGGCGUAAAGAGCUCGUAGGCGGUUUGUCGCGUCGUCUGUGAAAACUCGAGGCUCAACCUCGAGCUUGCAGGCGAUACGGGCAGACUUGAGUACUGCAGGGGAGACUGGAAUUCCUGGUGUAGCGGUGAAAUGCGCAGAUAUCAGGAGGAACACCGGUGGCGAAGGCGGGUCUCUGGGCAGUAACUGACGCUGAGGAGCGAAAGCGUGGGUAGCGAACAGGAUUAGAUACCCUGGUAGUCCACGCCGUAAACGGUGGGCGCUAGGUGUGGGUUUCCUUCCACGGGAUCCGUGCCGUA
rnacentral:rRNA from 1 species